rnacentral:rRNA from 1 species
GUGCUGCUGGUUCUCUAGGGAGCAUGUGCACACCUUGUCAUCUUUAUAUCUCCACCUGUGCACUUUUUGUAGACCUUUCAGGUCUAUGUUGCUUCAUUUACCCCAAUGUAUGUUAAUAGAAUGUUGUGCCUAUAUAAUAUAUACAACUUUCAGCAACGGAUCUCUUGGCUCUCGCAUCGAUGAAGAACGCAGCGAAAUGCGAUAAGUAAUGUGAAUUGCAGAAUUCAGUGAAUCAUCGAAUCUUUGAACGCACCUUGCGCUCCUUGGUAUUCCGAGGAGCAUGCCUGUUUGAGUGUCAUUAAUAUAUCAACCUUCUCUUUUUUGAGUUGUUUGGAUGUGGGGGUUUGCUGGCCUCUUAAAUGAUUCAGCUCCCCUGAAAUGCAUUAGCAGAACAACCUGUUCAUUGGCGUGAUAAUUAUCUAUGCUAUUGAAUGUGAGGGCAGUUCAGCUUUCUAACCGUCCUCGGACAAUUCAUCAUUAAUGUGACCUCAAAUCAGGUAGGACUACCCCGCUGAACUUAAGCAUAUCAAUAAGCNGGAGGAA